rnacentral:rRNA from 1 species
AAAAAUGUUAUGAGUAAUUUUUAGAAAAAAUAAUUUUUUGUUUAUUUAGUGAUUAAUGAAAUAAUAAUGAUAGUUAUAGAGUAAUAGUAUUGUGAAAGAAUUAUUUUAAUUAAUUAGAAGUAGAUUAUUUGUUGUACCUUGUGUAUCAGGGUUUAUUAAAAUUUUUUAAUUAUAAUAAAUUUUUAGAAUUUUUAAGGGUAAAGAAAUUAUAAAUAUAAUUGUAAAAUAAAUUUUUAUAAUUUUUUUUUAGUAAUGAAAUGUUAUUCGUUUAAAAAUAUAUCUAAUUUUUAAAGAAAUAAAUUUAAUUUAAUAAUUUAUAUAUUUUUUAUUAUAUAAUAAUAAAUAUAAUAAAUUUUAAAUAUUUUAAGGGAUAAGCUUUAAAAUAGAUAAGUUAAAAUAAAUAUUUAUAUUAAAAUAUAUAUAAUUAUAAAUUUUAAAUAUUAAUAGUUUGUUAUAAUUAGUUUUAAUUGAAAUAUAAUUUUAAUUAGUUUAUAAUUAUUUAUUUAAAUAAUUUUAUAAAUUAUAUUUAAAAUUAAAUAAUGAUAAAAUUAGUAUAAGUUUAAAUUAAUAAUAUUAUUUAUUUUAGGUUAUUUAGAGGAAUUCGACAAAAAUUUAUUUCGCCUGUUUAAUAAAAACAUGUCUUUUUGAUUAUAAUUUAAAGUCUAAUCUGCCCACUGAAAAUUUGAAGGGCCGCAGUAAUUUGACUGUGCGAAGGUAGCAUAAUAAUUAGUUUUUUAAUUGAAAGCUAGAAUGAAUGAUUGGACGAGAAUAAAGUUGUCUUUAUUUAAUUUUAGUAGAAUUUAAUUUUUAAGUUAAAAAGCUUAAAUAAAAUUUAAAGACGAGAAGACCCUAUAGAGUUUUAUAUUAAAAAUUUAUUUAAUUAUUAUAAUUAUUAUUUAAAUUUGAUAAUAAUAUUUUAUUGGGGUGAUAGAAAAAUUUAUUAAACUUUUUUAUAAUAAAAACAAUUAAUUUUGUAUAUUUGAUCUUAAAUUUAGAUUAAUUGAUUAAAUUACCUUAGGGAUAACAGCGUAAUUUUUUUGGAGAGUUCUUAUUGAUAAAAAAGAUUGCGACCUCGAUGUUGGAUUAAGAUUAAAUUUUAAUGUAGAAGUUAAAAAUUUUAAGUCUGUUCGACUUUUAAAAUCUUACAUGAUCUGAGUUUAAACCGGUGUGAGCCAGGUUGGUUUCUAUCUUAAAUAAAUUAUUUUAUUUUAGUACGAAAGGACCAAAUAAA